rnacentral:lncRNA from 1 species
UAUUUUCUUCUUUUUUAGUUGAACCAUAAAAUUCCAAUUUGUUAAAACAAAUCAAUUUUCUCAAUUUCUCAUGGUUUUCUUUAUAAUCAAUUGAUUUUAUUAUUCUUUUUAUAGAAUGAAUAACUAUUUUAAAUGGUUUCAUUGUUCUUUUUAUAGGGUGAAGAAUUUUUUUCCUGUGCUUUCUAGAGACAAAGCUAGUUCUUAACAUCCAAGUGAC